AUUGAACACUGGCGGCAGGCUUCACACAUGCAAGUCGAGCGAGCGGCGGACGGGUGAGUAAUGUCUGGGAAACUGCCUGAUGGAGGGGGAUAACUACUGGAAACGGUAGCUAAUACCGCCUACCCUCCGCUGUGCCCCUAUGGGAUUAGCUAGUAGGUGGGGUAAUGGCUCACCUAGGCGACGAUCCCUAGCUGGUCUGAGAGGAUGACCAUCCACACUGGAACUGAGCAACUGUCCAGACUCCUACGGGAGGCAGCAGUGGUGAAUAUUGGACAAUGGGAGCAAGCCUGAUGCAGCCAUGCCGCUUGUGUGAAGAAGGCCUUCGGGUUGUAAAGCACUUGCAGCGAGGAGGCGUUACUCGCAGAAGAAGCCCCGGCUAACUCCGUGCCAGCAGCCGCGGUAAUUC
rnacentral:rRNA from 1 species